rnacentral:rRNA from 1 species
CGGGUAAUUGCGUGCCAGCAGGCGCGGUAAUACGUAGGGGGCGGGCGUUAAGCGGAAUUGCGGGGAGUCAAGCGGGCGCAUGCUGGUUUGUAAGACAGGCGUGAAAUGCCCGGGGUUAACCUGGGAACUGCGUUUGUGACUGGAAGACUAGAGUACGGCAGAGGGGGGUGGAAUUCCACGUGUAGCAGUGAAAUGCGUAGAGAUGUGGAGGAACACCAAUGGCGAAGGCAGCCCCCUGGGUCGAUACUGACGCUCAUGCACGAAAGCGUGGGUAGCAAACAGGAUUAGAUACCCGUGAGUC